CCUACGGGAGGCAGCAGUGAGGAAUCUUGGUCAAUGGCCGUAAGGCUGAACCAGCCAAGUCGCGUGAAGGAAGAAGGAUCUAUGGUUUGUAAACUUCUUUUAUAGGGGAAUAAAAGUAUCCACGUGUGGAUAUUUGCAUGUACCCUAUGAAUAAGCAUCGGCUAACUCCGUCCCCGCAGCCGCGGUACUACGGAGGAUUCGAGCGUUAUCCUGAUUUCUUGGUGUUAAAGGGUGCGUAGGUUGUUUUUGAAGUCAGCGGUGAAAGUUUGUGGCUAAACCAUAAAAUUGCCGUUGAAACUGGAAGACGUGAGUGUGUUUGAGGUAGGCGGAAUGCGUGGUGUAGCGGUGAAAUGCAUAGAUAUCACGCAGAACUCCGAUUGCGAAGGCAGCUCACUAAGCCAUAACUGACACUGAAGCACGAAAGCGUGGGGAUCAAACAGGAUUAGAUACCCCUGUAGUC
rnacentral:rRNA from 1 species